UAAGUCAGUCUAUCGUUUAUUUGAUAGUACCUUACUACAUGGAUAACCGUGGUAAUUCUAGAGCUAAUACAUGCUAAAAACCCCGACUUCGGAAGGGGUGUAUUUAUUAGAUAAAAAACCAAUGCCCUUCGGGGCUCCUUGGUGAAUCAUAAUAACUUAACGGAUCGCAUGGCCUUGCGCCGGCGACGGUUCAUUCAAAUUUCUGCCCUAUCAACUUUCGAUGGUAAGGUAUUGGCUUACCAUGGUUUCAACGGGUAACGGGGAAUUAGGGUUCGAUUCCGGAGAGGGAGCCUGAGAAACGGCUACCACAUCCAAGGAAGGCAGCAGGCGCGCAAAUUACCCAAUCCCGACACGGGGAGGUAGUGACAAUAAAUACUGAUACAGGGCUCUUUUGGGUCUUGUAAUCGGAAUGAGUACAAUUUAAACCCCUUAACGAGGAACAAUUGGAGGGCAAGUCUGGUGCCAGCAGCCGCGGUAAUUCCAGCUCCAAUAGCGUAUAUUAAAGUUGUUGCAGUUAAAAAGCUCG
rnacentral:rRNA from 1 species